rnacentral:rRNA from 1 species
GACGAACGCUGGCGGCGUGCUUAACACAUGCGAGUCGAACGGAAAGGCCCUGCUUUUGUGGGGUGCUCGAGUGGCGAACGGGUGAGUAACACGUGAGUAACCUGCCCUUGACUUUGGGAUAACUUCAGGAAACUGGGGCUAAUACCGGAUAGGAGCUCCUGCUGCAUGGUGGGGGUUGGAAAGUUUCGGCGGUUGGGGAUGGACUCGCGGCUUAUCAGCUUGUUGGUGGGGUAGUGGCUUACCAAGGCUUUGACGGGUAGCCGGCCUGAGAGGGUGACCGGCCACAUUGGGACUGAGAUACGGCCCAGACUCCUACGGGAGGCAGCAGUGGGGAAUAUUGCACAAUGGGCGGAAGCCUGAUGCAGCAACGCCGCGUGCGGGAUGACGGCCUUCGGGUUGUAAACCGCUUUCGCCUGUGACGAAGCGUGAGUGACGGUAAUGGGUAAGAAGCACCGGCUAACUACGUG